AAGGAUUUAAGUUAAAUAAACUAUUAGCCUUCAAAGCUAAAAAUAAAUAAAUAAAUUUAAGCCUUA
rnacentral:tRNA from 1 species